ACAGCAGUAGCCGCGGUAAUACGAAGGGUGCAAGCGUUAAUCGGAAUUACUGGGCGUAAAGCGCGCGUAGGUGGUUUGGUAAGAUGGAUGUGAAAUCCCCGGGCUCAACCUGGGAACUGCAUCCAUAACUGCCUGACUAGAGUACGGUAGAGGGUGGUGGAAUUUCCUGUGUAGCGGUGAAAUGCGUAGAUAUAGGAAGGAACACCAGUGGCGAAGGCGACCACCUGGACUGAUACUGACACUGAGGUGCGAAAGCGUGGGGAGCAAACAGGAUUAGAUACCUCUGUAGUCCCUGUCUCUUAUAC
rnacentral:rRNA from 1 species